AUACGGAAGGUCCGGGCGUUAUCCGGAUUUAUUGGGUUUAAAGGGAGCGCAGGCGGAGAUGCAAGCGUGACGUCGAAUUUCGGGGCUCAACCCCGUCUCGCGUCGCGAACUGCGUCCCUUGGUUGCGGGAAGGGGAGGCGGAACUCGUGGUGUAGCGGGGAAAUGCAUAGAUAUCACGAAGAACUCCGAUCGCGAAGGCAGCCUUCCGGCCCGUCAACGACGCUCAUGCUCGAAGGUGCGGGUAGCAAACAGGAUUAGAUACCCUGGUAGUCCGCACAGUAAACGAUGGACACCCGCGGUUUGGCCUGUAUGGCUGAGCCGCCAAGCGAAAGCGUUAAGUGUCCCACCUGGGGAGUACGCCGGCAACGGUGAAACUCAAAGGAAUUGACGGGG
rnacentral:rRNA from 1 species